GAUGAACGCUGGCGGCGUGCCUAAUACAUGCAAGUAGAACGCUGAAGGAGGAGCUUGCUCUUCUGGAUGAGUUGCGAACGGGUGAGUAACGCGUAGGUAACCUGCCUGGUAGCGGGGGAUAACUAUUGGAAACGAUAGCUAAUACCGCAUGACAACAGUUAUUGCAUGAUAACUGUUUAAAAGGGGCAACUGCUCCACUACCAGAUGGACCUGCGUUGUAUUAGCUAGUUGGUGAGGUAACGGCUCACCAAGGCGACGAUACAUAGCCGACCUGAGAGGGUGAUCGGCCAAACUGGGACUGAGACACGGCCCAGAAUCCUAAGGGAGGCAGCAGGAGGGAAUCUUCGGCAAUGGACGGAAGUCUGACCGAGCAACGCCGCGUGAGUGAAGAAAGUUUUCGGAUCGUAAAGCUCUGUUGUAAGAGAAGAACGAGUGUGAGAGUGGAAAGUUCACACUGUGACGGUAUCUUACCAGAAAGGGACGGCUAACUACGUG
rnacentral:rRNA from 1 species